CGUUGAUCACAAUCUAUGCAUGAAACUGGUGGGAGUGGACGUAAUUGGAUUAAGCCCAAUGCUCCUGAAGCAAGGUUGAGGGCAAUGGAUGUAGAACUCCAAAAGAGCAAGAGUACAAAACAGCGAAAAAUCUCCACAAUGAAUUUACAGAAGCUAAAAGAGAGAUUGGGACGGGCAGUGUCCAAGUUUAUACUCUAUAAUCGUAUUCCAUUCAAUGCAGUUGAUUCAGAGUAUACACAACCCAUGCUUGAUGUUGCUGCUGAAGUAGGGCCAGGAGUAAAGGGUCCUAGUGCUUAUGAAGUUUCUGAAGUAUAUUUGGGCAUGGAGCAUGAUGAAAUGACAGAAUGGAUAGGAUCAUUCAAGGGAAUUUGGGCAGAGAGAGGUGUAUCCAUCAUGUGUGAUGGUUGGAGCAGUCUAACUCGGCAACACAUCAUCAACUUCUUAGUGUACUGCAAUAGAGGUACUAUAUUUCACAAAUCAAUUGAUGCCUCUAAUAUUGUUAGUAGGACUGCUGAAUAUUAUUUUGGGUUGUUAGAUAAAGUUGUUGAUGAAAUUGGAGAACAAUACGUUGUUCAAGUGGUAACUGAUAAUGAACCUGCACUGAAAGCAGCCGGUAAAAUGUUAAUGAGAAAAAGGAAACAUUUAUAUUGGACAGCUUGUUCAGCACAUUGUAUCGAUCUCAUGCUAAAAGACAUAGCCAAUAAGAAAAGUGUAGCAAAGGUGAUUGAAGAUGGUAAAACCAUCACCAAUUUCAUUUAUAAUAGUGGAUGGGUGUUGGAUUUAAUGAGAAAAUUCACUGGAGAUGGAGAAUUGAUUCGACUUGCCAUCACUCGAUUUGCUACAAAUUUUAUUGCCAUUGAGAGUAUUGUUAGAUAUAAACAACAAUUGAGAGCUAUGUUUAAUAGUGAUGAGUGGAAGAAUUCUAGAUGGGGGAAGGCAAAGACUGGGCAGCCUUACAAUGUGAAAAAAAUUAUUUUGGGAAAGGAGUUUUGGCAGAAAGCAACAGAGCUUUGUAAAGUUCAUGAGCCCCUAGUCAGAGUAUUGAGGUUGGUUGAUGGAGAUGAGAAGCCAACAAUGGGUUUCAUAUAUGAAGCUAUAGAUAGAGCAAAGUUGGCAAUUAAAAGAGAUUGUCGCUACUACACCGAGUAUUGAAAAAUUAUUGAUACUCGAUGGUCUUUUCAAUUGCAUCAAGAUUUGCAUGCGGCUGGUAAGUGUUACGAUUUCAAUUAUAAAAUGUAUAUUUAUUUACAAUUAUUAAUUGUCUUCUUAUUUUUGAAGGAUAUUUUUUAAAUCCUCAAUUCCAAUAUGGUGUUACCUCAUCCAAUGAAAUGAUAAGAGAAGUGAUGGAUGGACUUAAAAAAGUAAUUACCAGACUGGAGCCUAAUAUGGAUGCUCAAGUGAAAGCAACAAAUCAACUGAGUGGUGGAUUAUUCAUGGCAGUUGUGCUCCUGAACUUCAAAAAAUAGCUGUGAAAGUAUUAAGUCAAACCACCACAUCAUCUCACCGUGAACGUAAUUGGAGUACUUUUAGUCUCAUCCAUACGAAGACGAGGAAUAGAUUGAAAUAUAAGAAAAUCCAAAGAUUAGUCUUCAUUACCUACAACAUGAGAUUAAAAUUGAGACACGUUAAAAGAAGCAGCCAAGAGGAGAUUGAUAGGAGUUUUAAUCCUAUUAACUUGGAUUAUAUAUUUGAAGAAGAUGAUCCAAUAAGUCCAUGGAUAGAAGAAAGGGAAAAUCCUUUGCUAGAUGGUGUGGAUAAUUCUAAAUGGCUA